GGGGACGCAGCCAGCUGGGAGGAAGGAUGGCUGUAAGGACGUCAGAGGCGGAGGCUGACCCAGAGGCGCGUCAACCGCUACCCCCUCCUCGCCACCAUGUGACCCGCCCCCUAUUGCCAGGAGAGCAGGAGCAGAACGGAUGUUUCUGAAGCCUGCAUUGGACCCUGACUGUCACAGACAUAAACUCUCAAAGGUUCUCCGUGGAUGGACCCCAGGAGCAACUCAGAUGCAAACACUGCCACAAGCAAGCACGUGAGGACAUCUCCCAGAUGUGCCACUUACCAGCAGAGGACACUGUGGUUUGACCACUGAAAGUCGAGAGAAACAGACUCAAACCGUUGCUCCGCCUGAAAGAAUAAGGCCACAGCCAUCAAAUCCUGCCAGCGUCCCCACCAAAGCAUGUUAUGAGUCCACCUGCUCUUUCAGUGACUUCCCUCCUGGGCCAGGGCCAGCACAUCACCUGCUCGUCACCCUGCCCGCCUGCAGACAACGGAUGGUGCUGCAGAGGGACCUUACUCAGACUCAUCCUCACUCUAGGGUGGACUCGAGGACUGGGGAUGAGGGAGGGACAUUCCCUUGGUGUUCAGGAAAGAGAGUCAGAGAAGGUAAACUUAUCUUUCUAUAAAUCUUCCUUAGCCUGAUGUUGAGUCAACGUCCUGCCUUCUACACACCAUUGACCUCGACUUCCUUAUGACUACCCUUGGAAUUUCUUCCAAUUGAAAUGCAGACUUUAUUCAAGUCCCAGCCAGGGUUCCAUGUCUCCUCUAGUCUGUGACAGUUCUCAGAAUUUCCAUGAUUUCUACAGUCUUGGCUUUGAGGCUGGCCAGUGAUUUGGGGACUGUUCCUCAGCCUGAGUGGCUAUGAUCUUAUCUCUUGGUUGUUCUGGGUCUUGGACAGCCACACCCUUUUGAUGUUCCAGGAUGAAUUGUGUGACAUCAAUAUGGCCCCCUGGUUCUGUUCUGCAUUUACUGGCACAGGUAUGAAAGUCAAAGGUCAGUUCUCUCCUUUGACCAUAUGGGUCCCAGUGAUUAAACUCAGGUCAUCAGCCUUGACAGCAAGUGCCUUUACCCAAUAAGCCAUCUUGCUAGCUCGAGGAUUCUAUUUUUAUUGGUAUUUAUUUGAGGGCGGAUGGUGUGAGAGUCCUUCAGUUCUCCAGGAAUGCAGAUUUUCCUUUUGCAUAAGCUGGGGUAAAGGUGGGGGUGGGGCAGGGACUUGUUCACACUGUGCAGCCCAAGUGCAGAGAUUCGAGUCAGUAAUGGCUGGGGGAGCUUUGUUCUGUUUGCUUUGCGACAGAGUUUGCUGUGUAGCCUGAUACCUGUGAGCCUGUCCUGAGCUCAGGAGAGUGGCCCUGCUGGUUUAGCUGUGGCCACCUCCUUUUUUUGUUGUUGAGUUUUGUUUUACUUCAUUUUUUUUUUUUUUUUUUUGCUUUUCACUUCCUUCCCUCCUUCAUUUUCUCUUCUCUUCUCUUCUCUUCUCUUCUCUUCUCUUCUCUUCUCUUCUCUUCUCUUCUCUUCUCUUCUCUUCUCUUCUCUUCUCCUCUCCCCUCCCCUCCCCUCCCCUCCCCUCCCCUCCCCUCCCCUCUCUCUCUCUCCCUCCCUCCCCCUCCCCCCCCCCUCUUUUUGAGACAGGGUUUCUCUGUGUAGUCCUACCUGACUAUCCUGGAACUAGCUCUGUAGAUCAGGCUAGCUCAGAAGUCAGAGGUUUUCCUGCUCCUGCCUCCUGUGCACCACCACACCCUGCUGGGGCUACCUCUUGAUGUAUAUAAAGGAAAACGGGAUGUGACAUGCCUUUGUCCUGAGGUGUGUAUGUGGACUAGACAGAGUGCUUUCAUCUGAGAGAUAUCAGCGGAUGUUUAAUACAAAACGUCAUCACUUUUGACGCUCUAGCUGCUCUAUUAUUUCAUGCUCAGGACACCUUAAAUUGUUUUGUGUGGGAGGAGGUUGUUUUGAUUUUUGAGACAGAGGCUUGCUGUGUAGCUCAGGCUGGUCUGGAACUUGUAGCAAUGCUCCUGCCUCAGCUUCCUCAGUGCUGGUGAUUCAGAUGUAAACCACUGUGCCCAGUGCUAAUACCUACUGUAGGUAUUAUUAGUUAUUUAAACAACCAAGAUACAACUUACUGCAAGGCAAGUGGCAGGCUUGGGCUUGACUCCAGACACACUGUGUGCUACUUCCACGCUACCAAUCUGUUCUCCUACUGUGUGCCAAGCAAGACUGUAUGUUAGAUGGCCUGGAAAAGAACCUCUGUUCAUUCACAAAUGUCACCCUCUUUCUUAGUGGCAGUUCCUGUACCUUGAGAACCUCUGAGCCAGGGUACCCUGCCAGGUUGCUGUGGCUACAGACAGGGAUUGACUUUAGUUGGCCAUCUGCUCUGCUGGUUGCCAGAUGCUGUGGCUCUCAGCCACUGCAUGGGCAUCUCUGCUAUUUCCAUCAAGCUUCUCCAGCCCAGAACUGGGUGGACUCAAAGCCUGCGCUCUCCGUCAUGACAGAAGCAUGGCUUCCUGAGUCUCCCUCCCUCCUGUGUGACUAUGUCUCUGAAAUCCCUUUGUGCUUAGAAGGACUGGUAGCAUUGUUGUGAGCAGUUCAUUAGUACCAUGUGCUUGUUCCUUAAACCAAACAUGCUGUGUAAGGCUCUUAGUUAACACUAACAAGAGGGACUUAAAAAGUCCCGGAAUUGUCUGUGGCACAUAAACUAUGACCAUGUAAAUGGGCUGUCCUGAGUGAGGCAGCACACACAGCGAGCGCAUCAGGGUUCUUUGGACUUGAGGCUCCAGCUCCUUCAGAGGCCUGAUGUGACUGCUAAGAUCCUGGCUGCCCUGUCUCAGGGUGUUUGCUGAACUUUCUCCAGGAGAUACAACAGAUAGGGGCCAUCGGUCUUCUGCCUCUUCUCCUCUGACAGUUCUCUGGCCAUCAUUCUUUCUGUUCUUCAUGGUUGGAAGUGGCAGAAGCAGGGAGGUAUAGCUACACCAAUGGCUAGAAUAGACUGGGAAAGCAGUAAUCAGUCCGAUGGGACAGAAUAUAGGCUGUCUGCCUUAUUAAAAUUACUCUACUUGGGACUGGUAAGAUGGCUCAGAGGGGAAAGGCACUUGCUGCGAAGCCUGCUGACAAGCUCUGGGUUGUCUCUCUGUUCCCACCCUGGAAGGGAGCUGAGGUGCCUGCACACCAAUUUCUGUAAUGGACAGUUGCUCACAGUAGUGGGCCUGGGAAGAAAGCUUUGGCCAGGCUUCUGGUGAUGGUAGCAAGCAGGGUAUACUGAGGUGCUAGUGUUGGCAUUUAGUCUAGGCUCCGCCCCACAGUUACCUGGCAACAGCCAGGUGUACCUGACUCACUAUAAAAGGGGCUGCUUGCCCCCUCCUCUCUUUCUUGCUCUGCUUGCUCUCCUGCCCUUUUUCCU